AUAAAUAUACGUAUACACGAGAAAAGAGUGUUUUCAAUAUUGCUAAUGUUUAAAUAAUAAAUAAUUUGAGUGGUGUUCGAUAUAGUACAAAUAAUUAAAAUAUCCUCGAAGAUGUUAAAAUCAUUUUAAAUUGAACAAUAUGAAAACAUCCAUUUGGAACAGGUGUCAGUUUUUUCAGGUAUAAAUUGAAGAUUCUUCUUGUAUAUUAUAUAUGAAUUAAGAAGGAUUCAUACAAUUUUAAGUUUUCCGCGGAUUUUUCAUUGGCUUUGACCAUCGUUGUGAAUUUUCCCAAUGGCGCAUGCACAGCUCAGCUGUGUGUAAUCGCGAGCAAUUUAUUAGAAAAAUAAUGUAUUUUACAGUAUUUUUAUCCAAGUAGAAGGUGUACUGAACACGGUAUUCGUAAUAUUAGGAAACAUGGACUGCCCAUCUAGUAUUGCAACAGUGUUUAAAUUAUACUUACAUUGCAUGUAGUCUUUUGUUUUGCAUUGCUUUUGAUGCAUCAAACGGGACAAUAUAUUUUUGAGGCAAAUUACUUCUUAGCUUCGAAUAAAAGAAAUGGAUGCUGUAAGAGACGAAGACAGGCGCAGGCGCCUGAGGGUGCUAGAGGAGCGUAUAAGAGAUCCAAGAAGUGUUACAAAUAUCGAUUGCCUGUUGGAUACAGUCCAAGCCUUGGUAGCAGAUUGUGAUCACCCUAGUGUAAAACGUAUGAAGAAUAUAGAAGCAUACAUGAAUAGAUAUGACUCGGUUGCUCAUGAUAUUUGUAAAAUGCGAAUGCGUAUGGAUGACUUCACUUUGAUAAAAGUGAUAGGUCGUGGGGCAUUUGGAGAAGUUCAGUUGGUACGACAUAAAUCUACGCAAAAAGUGUAUGCUAUGAAAUUACUCAGCAAAUUUGAAAUGAUUAAGCGUUCGGAUUCAGCCUUCUUUUGGGAAGAACGUGAUAUAAUGGCACAUGCGAAUUCCCAAUGGAUAGUUCAACUUCAUUUCGCAUUUCAAGAUCAAAAAUAUCUUUAUAUGGUGAUGGACUAUAUGCCGGGUGGUGAUUUAGUAAACUUAAUGUCGAACUAUGAAGUGCCAGAAAAGUGGGCAAAAUUUUAUUGUGCAGAAGUGGUGCUUGCAUUAGAUGCGAUACAUCUAAUGGGAUUUGUUCAUCGAGAUGUUAAACCAGAUAAUAUGUUGCUUGAUAAACAUGGUCAUUUAAAACUUGCAGACUUUGGUACUUGUAUGAGAAUGGAUGCUGAUGGACUUGUUAGAUCUGAUACUGCGGUUGGUACACCUGAUUAUAUAUCACCUGAGGUACUUCAGUCUCAAGGUGGCGAAGGUGUAUAUGGAAGAGAGUGUGAUUGGUGGUCAGUUGGUGUGUUUUUGUAUGAAAUGCUUGUUGGCGAUACUCCUUUUUAUGCUGAUUCAUUAGUUGGAACAUAUUCGAAAAUUAUGGAUCAUAGAAACUCACUACACUUUCCUCAAGAAGUAGAUAUUUCCCAUUCCGCCAAGAAUUUAAUAUGUGGUUUUCUUACGGAUAGAACAGAACGCUUAGGAAGAAAUGGUGUAGAUGAAAUAAAAAGUCAUCCCUUCUUUAAAAAUGACCAAUGGACUUUUGAAAAUUUACGAGAAUGUGUCCCACCAGUUGUACCUGAACUUUCUGGUGACGAUGAUACUAGUAACUUUGAUGAUGUUGACAAAGAAGAUGGACCAGAAGAAAGUUUUCCAGUGCCAAAAGCAUUUUCUGGAAACCAUCUACCUUUUAUUGGUUUUACAUAUUCAGGAGAUUAUCAGUUAAUGGCUUCUAGUGGAAAAGAAUCAGUAGACGGAUUAGAAAAUCAUAUCAAUAAUGGUACAAGUGAUGAUAUUAAAAUUUCUCAAUUGGAAAAUUUAUUGGAUCGGGAGAAAAGGCAAGUAGAAUCUUUGGAAUCAAGACAAAAAGCUUUGACAAUGCAAUUAGAAGCUAUGACACGUCGGGAAACUGAAUUGCGCGAAGAAAUAGGAAGAGCCGAUAAGGAACUGACUUUACUACGACAUAAUUAUAAAGAAGCACAACGUAGAGUAGAACAUGAAACAGAAUCACGUAGAAAAGCAGAGUCAUUAUUUGUAGAGUUGAAAAAGAAAUUUGAUGAAGAGCAGACAAAAAGAGCACGUGAUGCGAGCAAUUCACAACAAACUUCCGAACGCGUUGCAACUUUGGAAAAACAAAUUAAAGAAAUGCAAUCAAAAUUGGAAAGGGAAACAGAAACAGUAUCAAGGUUACGAAAACAAGCUACCGAAAUUACUGUAGCGCGACAAGCUUCAGAACAAAUGGCAAAUGAGUUACAAGUGGCAAGGGCACAGUUGCAGGCACAACGAGAUAAUUUACAACAAGAAGUUGCUACGUUACAAGGACAGUUAUCAAAAGAGCGUAGUUCCCGAUCGCAAGCUUCAUCUUUAACUGCAGAAUUAGAAAGCCGUCUGGCUACUCUUCAUCUUGAACUUGAACAUAGUCGAGAAAAAGAGGAAAAAGCAAUCUCAGAUAAUAGACAACUAACAGAAAGAAUUUCAGCGCUAGAAAAAGAAGCUGCCAGCUUAACUCUCGAGUUAAAAGCAGCACAAGCUAGAUACAAUCAAGAAGUCGUAGCUCAUCAAGAAACAGAACGUUCUCGUAUAUUAUCUAAAGAAGAAGCUAAUUUGGAAGUUGUCAAAGGGCGAAAGAAUAAAAUAUUUGAAGCUAAACUAAAUGAGGAAAAAAGUGGAAGACAACGUGCUGAAUUACUUGCACAAGAGAAAGAACGACAAACUUCUAUGCUUUCUGUGGAUUAUCGUCAGAUACAACAACGAUUACAAAAGCUGGAGGGUGAGCAUAGGCAAGAAGUGGAAAAGGUAAAAGUAUUACAGGGUCAGGUUGAACAAGAACAACAGAAAAGAAAUGUUCUGCAAACUGAUUUGGCGCAACAGUCAUCUGAAGCAGGACGAUUACGUGCUAGAGAACAACAAUUAGUAGGCGAAGUUGCUCAAUUAAGAGAAGCAAAGCGACAGAUAGAAGAAGAAUUACAUCACUUAAAAGCUCAAAGAAAUGUGGACCAGUUACAGACAAAGGAAUUACAAGAACAAUUAGAAGCGGAAGCUUAUUUCUCGACUCUUUAUAAAACUCAGACACAAGAACUUCGCGAAGAACUUGAUGAAAAAAUACGAUUACAACAAGAAUUAGAAGAAGAACGCAGUUCUUUAGUGCAUCAGUUACAAUUAUCAUUAGCUAGAGGAGAUAGUGAGGCUUUGGCAAGAUCAAUAGCUGAGGAAACUGUGGCAGAUCUUGAGAAGGAACGAACAAUGAAAGAAUUAGAAUACAAAGAUGGAGUAGCUAAGCAUCAUCAAGAAUUGAAUUCUAAAGAGCAGGUUAUAAAUCGUCUUAAAGAUAGUGAAAGCGAACUUAAGAAGAGCGUUGAUCAAUACUUUAAAGAAAAGGAUGAUUUAAGUAAACAGCUUAAAGAAUUACAACAUCAACUUUCGAAAGCACAAUUUAACGCUGAAGAAAUAGAAAAACUAGGUAGUAAAUUAAAAACUGAACAACUAUUGAAGCAACAAGCUGUUAAUAAAUUAGCAGAGAUCAUGAAUAGGAAGGACUUGUCUUCAAGUGGUAAAACAAAGAAUAAAGCAUCUGCAGCAGAUUUAAGAAAGAAGGAGAAAGAUUGUAGACGUUUGCAACAGGAGCUCACUCAAGAAAGGGAGAAGUAUGGACAGUUGGCAGCUAAAUGGCAAAAGGAUUUACAAGACUUACAGGCACAAUUGGUAGAAGAAAAUCAAGCGAAAUUGAGAUUACAAAUGGAACUUGAUUCGAAGGAUUCAGAAAUAGAAACUUUACAAAUGAGGAUCGCGUCACUGAAUUCAGAAACUGCGAGUGUUUCAUCUGUUGAAAAUGACGGAGAAGAUUCUGUUUUAUCGGAACAUGGUACCAUGAGGUUGGAGGGCUGGUUAAAUGUGCCAAAUAAACAAAAUAUUAAAAGGCACGGGUGGAAGAAGCAAUACGUUGUUGUCUCCUCGAAAAAAAUAAUAUUUUAUAACAGUGAAAAUGAUAAGCUAAACGCGGAUCCAAUUUUAAUAUUGGAUCUAAAUAAAGUCUUCCACGUUAGAUCCGUUACUCAGGGUGAUGUCAUCCGAGCCGAUGCCAAAGAUAUUCCGAGAAUUUUUCAGUUGUUAUACGCUGGUGAAGGCGAGGCAAGGCGUCCUGGUGACGAAGGAAACACAUUGCCUGGAGUGGAAUUGCCACAACUUACAGAUAAACCAGGCACACAGUCGUUAAAAGGCCAUGAAUUCGUUUCUAUAUCGUAUCAUAUGCCGACAACUUGUGAGGUAUGCUCUAAGCAGUUGUGGCAUAUGUUCCGACCACCACCGGCUCUCGAGUGUCGAAGGUGUCGUAUAAAAGUGCAUAAGGAGCAUUUGGAUAAGAAGGAAGAUGCCAUAGCGCCAUGUAAAUUGCACUAUGACCCAAAUAGCGCCCGCGAAUUAUUAAUUCUAGCUGGUAGUCCAGAUGAGCAGAAAUACUGGGUCGCAAGAUUGUCUAGACGUGUACAAAAAUGUGGCUAUAAAGCGAAUUCUCACGUCGAUGGCACUGGCCAACGUGUCUCGCCAAGGUAGCGUAGCUGUGCGACUCAGCGUAACCGGAGACUAAGUAGCUCUCUUGUAUUGUGGCAUCGCAUGAUUGGGUGUAGCGAGAGAGUCCACCAGAUCUACUUUGAAGCCAUAUUUAUCGGUGCAACAACGAUCCGCGACGCUGCCAGCAAAUGCUAGUAUGGGCAAGUGACCAUAACUGGCAUACAUGAUACUCGAUUGAAAUUCGUUGCUUCAACGUCCUUCCUAUUCAUCAGUCGAGCGAAUGAACUCGAUUAGUCGUUUGCGCGCAUUAUUGUUAACGGGAUUCAAGUCCAUUAACAUUUUACCGGGCCUCGUGACGCUAUCAGAACUCGAUUUUCGUGUAUCUAAAAAGCAUCCAGUCGGAUUUGUGAACCAAGCGAAAUUGGUCGGUGAUAUUAUCUCCCGCAUGAAUUAUUAUCUGCAGCUAUCUCGUUAAACGAACAGGAAGAGCAUCACCUAAAUGUGCAAGGUAUUCGCGUUAGUGAUACAGUAAAUUAGUCACAAACUACAUAAGAGAAAGGGAGUAGAAUAGGAAAACGAUUAAUCACAAAAAACUACUCUAAUAUACACCGGGAGAAAAUGAAAGUAUUUAAACACCGGUGUCCACUGUUUUCAGUUACCAGUACUGUUUUACAAUGAAGUUAAAUAUUAUUCGCAUUGGAUUAUAUUUCAAUACGAAGCUACAUUCUUAUAGAAUUAUAUAAUUCGAUGUAAAUAAGGUUUAAUUCAGUAUCAUAUUGAUAACAAUAUUACUUAUUGAAAGCAAGAUUCAGCGGUGCUUAGGUACUCUUUGUCACGCGUUGCAAAUCAAUUUUGGAAACUAACAGUAUAAUGUCCAGAGGAUUGAACUGAAUCACUUAAUUUUUCAUAUAAAAGAAAUGAAAAAUAUCAAUCGAUUCUUUUUUUUUUUAUUUAUUGCUUGCCAUUUGCUUGAUAGUACAUGACCGCGUUUAAUCUAAUAAAGAGGGACUUAACGAAAUGGAACUCGCAUUUGGAAGGAAGUAAGAGCUAUCUUAGCAAACGGAAGUUGUUACCGUGCGUCAUUGAUAAUAACGUUUACAAGAGGACAUACAGGUGGUCUCGGGUUCUGCGCGUAAUUAUACUCAAUAAUCAGUGCUGUAGUCUCAGGAUCACCGAGUCGUUUUAUAAAAGUUUUUCACAGACCGAGAGAGAACGGAUCGAGUUUUUAUAGUGAUUCUUUUUUCUCGUAGACGCUUAAAUAUGAUUUCCCCUUGUAUAUACAUUCUGAGUAACUGUUAUCGGUCGAUAGCGGCUCGUUCGUUAGUUUCGGGACGAAUGCGUUGAAAAGGCAUCGAGAUGUUCUUUAACCCUUUGGAUGUUCGGGUGGUUACACCGCGUGCGGUGGACGCCGAUCGGAAAAUUCACGAACACGUCCGGGAGACAUGUUCACGGGAUUUCAUCACACGGCAUUUACCAGCAUUCGAGUCUUCGGUGGUUAGCAUCGAAAGGGUUACAUGACAUAAGACGUUCGUGCGACAUAGCUUACUACAUUCACGUUCGGAAAACACGUAAUAUUGUACAUUCACCACGGCAGAUUGGAAGUAUUAUUACUUUUAUACGUCUCGAGAUUAGAAUAUUUUAAGUACCGUUAGGUAAGAUUGGAAUUGUCUUGUGUGUAGACAGAUGCUUGCUUGCCCAGUUAACUAGUGCGGCUGCCAAAGUUUCAGUUUUAGAAUGAGAGACGUGGGUCGGACGUCGUUAGCGCCCCGAUCGGCAUCGAUGUAGAAACAAUUGAACACUGAAAGUAUUUUUAAUCGCAAAUUUAUCGAUGUAAAUUAGAUCGGACGUAUUCAUCGAACUUCGAAAUUUGUGGAAGCCUCGAUCGUUUCAUGGCUAUUUUAGGAAUAAUUCGAAUGAACUAGAUUUUGUCCAUACCACGGAUCGCCAAACCGUUCCACGCAACUGUUAGAAAUCGGCUCAUUCGUCAGUGUAAUUAGAAUCUUAACAGUGUUUUCUAAUUCUAUUGAAAAAAGAGCUGCGACUCAUUCCACUUGCGUGGGUAAUUUUGUACAUACAUACCCUUUUCGAUUUUUCUGUUUCCCUUUUUUCUUUUUCCACAAAACUUCAAGUUUAACGUCGUCCAAUGAUUUUCAUAACGUUCGAACGUUCGAUGGAUAUUUUGUACAUUGUAAAUUCUCGUCCCUAUUGCCAUCGCAGAACGUAGACGCGGUUAAAUGAGAGAAGGACAAAAUGUCGUGGAACCUAUAAACGACAGUGAACGCUAAGGAACAGCGCCGCGAACGAGCUUGAUUGUAUAGUAGAGAUAAUAUUUACAGUUGUAACUUAAGAAUUUUUAAUACGAUGUACGAUAUUCGCUAUUACCUUGGAACGAAGAGCAUAAUUGAGAAGCUUAGGAAGUUACGUUGAACGGUGCCGAGUGAGAUUAGCGAGCGAGAGGCAUCGAGUGAAUAAAAAACAACAAAAUGGAAACGAGUAAAAAAAAAGGAAGCGAAAUUAUAACGAACAUAGAGAAUGUAUUAUUAAUCGUUAUCGCCGCUUGUGUUCUUAUUGUGGUACCUCAGCAACGUCUUGCUUCGGAACAAGCUGAAAAUGAAAAACGGACUCUUCCUUCGUCGCUUGUUAACGUCUGCAUCCUUCUCGUUAGUAGCUGCGUAUUCACGCGUGAGACUCUUUUAAAUGGUGCUCCCUCCCCUUGUCCUCAACCGAUCCACACCUGUCCUUUCUCCUUUCUUUCUCCAGAAAACGAAGAAGCUUCCGGAACUUGGAAGGAAGCUCGGUACCCGUAACGUCAUUCAUUGGAUUGAACAAUAAGCGGCGAGAGCUAAAAUCGAUCGUAGUGAGAGAAAAAAAGAAGAAAAAAAGAAAUAAGAACACCAUUUUCCGACUACUGCCCCGUGCCUUCUUUCUCGUUUUAGCCAUCCCCCGUUUGGAUUUUUCCGGCGGCUGGGGGUGCUGGAAAGCAAAUUUUUGCCAAUUGCGAGAUAAUGAAAGAGAUGGAAGCAAGAAUAAGCGGAAGAACUUGUUAGAGCAUAUUUUAUUAUUGUUUAGUUAUUUACAAUCUGUAUAUUAUUAAUUAAUAUUACGAUUAAAGUAUUUUGUAGAUAAUUAACGCGAGUCUAGACGUUUCCACCAUCGCCGAAUAUGAAUUAUCAUUUCAAUGAUAGCCCGUCGGACAUUAUAGAUUCAUUGUGAUCUCUUGUUAUCCGGCGACCUCCCUCGCUCCCGAACGGGGCACGAUCGAAAUUUUAUGAUCUUUAUAUAUUUAUAGUAUUAACGGUAAGACAAUACACUCGACUGCCAUUUCUCUCUUUCUUUUUCUUCUCUCUUUUCAGCGUGCUGCGUGUGGUGUGCGCGUGUGUGCGUGUGUGUAUGUUCGUUCGUGCAUGUGUGUUGUGUAUCAAUUUUGUAGUUUCUUUCCUCCUUCGUUCCGGGUUUUUUUUGUAAUUGAUUUAUGUAGUACAAAAUAAUACUCCAUAUAAUAUACAGUUCUUUUUUUUUGUAUUGUAAUCUAACAUUUUAGUUCGUCGUUGAAGUUCCGAGACAAAACAAUUUGCAAUCGAAUUGUUUCAGUCUUUCAUUUCGUCGAAGAGCAAACAAUCUAUCAAUUGAUUGAUUCGUUUGCGGAUUUAUGAGCACGUCCUCAUUGUAGACGUUCGAACGUAUUUCGAUAAUCGAUAUUGUGACGAACUUAUCUUAACAUUUAGCGUUUUAUGCAAAACAUUUUUUUUUGUUCAUUUUCGUGGAAAGCUUUUGUCAUUUAUUAAGAAGGCUCAAGAAGGCUUAGAAUGUGCUUCUAGUUAAUUAGCGGUGGCUGCUCAUUUAUAAUGCAUUGACGAGUCGAGGUGAUGUUUGGAAUUAAUGAAAGGGCCCUCUUUGCAUAUCCGCUAUGUGUCGACGACCUUUAAAUUAUUUCCUGAGAUAGACGACUUAAUCAGUUCUCUCUACUCCCUCAGAAAUAAUUCUGAGAUAACCGAACAAAGUGUAUUAUAGUUUCGCUUCUGUUUUUUGUAAGUAUACGAAAAUAUUUAACCGUUUGAGUCUUCUUAAGUGUUUAAAGAUUGUGUUGCUCUUCAUACAAAUUCGGUUUUAAAUUUCGAUUCAAAAUUUGGUUGUAAAUUUUUGCUUGCAUCUGGGUAACAAAUAAUAAAUCUGUUUGGACUGCUUCCGUUUGUGACAAAUUUACCUUUUGGUUUGAAUUUUAUCUACAAUGAAUAAUCAUUAAUAGUUCAGCAUUCGUACAUGGUAUUGUUACAGAAAUCUCGGUAAUUUACGAACGAGCAUGAAAAUUGAUAAUAUAAAAUUUGUCGAUCGGUAAUAGUAUGUACUUUUUAUUAUGUUUUAGAAAAAAAUAACUAAUAUAUCUCACGUUUGGUGAGCAUGGUAAAUAGGUCUAAAUAGAGUAAAUGAUUUUAUGCGGGUGAGUAAUCUUGGGUUCUUUUAGGAGAUUGAACGUUCUGCCGUUUAUUUGUCAUUUUUCGCUUAUAACUUUGUAACUAUCUCAAUGGAGAGAUUCACGUAAAAGGUAGCACAAACAUGAAAUUCUGGGACUUCAAAAUUCGUUACUCGUAUAUAUGUUACUCGCAAUAUGUAUGUAUGUAUAUCCUGCAAUCGUUUUUGUAUCUGACAGGUCCUUAAGUAUGAUGAAUACAUGAAAAUCAGUACGUGAAUAUUUUUAUGCAAAACUCGAGCAAUCCAUUUCAAAUACACGAAUAUAUUUAUAUAUAAUAUAUACUUUUGAUUACAUUCGCUAAGUCUAUAUUGUUUUAACGGGCGGUCGAUAAAGGAAUUUUAAUUCAAAUCGUAUAAUAUCAGUCGGUUUCUCCUAUUCGAUUACAUUUUUUUAAUGGCGAGUUUGUAGACUAAUCGUCCUCUUUUCCUCACGUCUUCAAUCGUUUCCGCGUUUGAUAUCUGGAUAUGUAAUUUGUUCUUCGUUCUCUUCCGUCGUUACGAUUCACAUUGAAUGGCUGAAUAAAAAUCGUUUUUUUGAAAGCGACCUCUUUCUCGUAAACGAGUAAAUAGACGAAGAAAAUGUAAAUAACCUUACAAACUAUAGCAACGAAUUAUUCUUUAAAUAAGUACACGAACGAAGUUAAAUAAUUAAUGCUAAAAGAUAUUAGUAGAGUAUUUAAAUAAGACGUUGAUAAUUCUCGUUAGUUUAUGUUAUAUAAAAAGGAAUGUAGUCGUUUCUUUGGUGAUGCUAUGUUAGCGGAUAUUAUUACAAAUUACAAACAAGCUUUAUACUUAUUAACGGUAAUAAAAAUAUAUAUAUAUACACACGGAACGAUGGAAACUUUACAUCACACUAUGCUGCUCAAAAUAUUCGAUCUUACUUUUCCACAUGCGUUAUUUUAUUUUACCUGUUGAUUUUUCAUUUCGAGUAUGUUGUACAAAAUAAAGUUGAAUUCGAAAUCGUGGCUCUCCGAGUUAUCGGUUAUGCACAUAUUCAAGGGAUUUGCUAAUCCCUGUUUAAACAUAUAUUGAAAUCUGUUAAGUGAUAGAAUAACAUUAUCCUGUUAUAGUUUGUCGAGACUUUUACAGAAAAUUACAUGCAAUUAAUUUACGUGUAUGUACAAACGAUUAAACUCGCAUUUCUUGUACAAUAAUCGGCGUAGUAGCGCAUCUUAUACUUUCUCUUAAGGUAAUUAACUUCUAAUUGUAAGUAAUAAAUGCGAAUGUGAAAUCUCUUUUAACGACGAAUUGAUCG